GUGUCAGCAGCCGCGGUAAAACGUAGGAGACUAGCGUUAUCCGGAUUUACUGGGCGUAAAGCGCGUGUAGGCGGUUCGGUAAGUCGGGCGUGAAAGCUCCUGGCUCAACUGGGAGAGGCCGUCCGAAACUACCGGACUGGAGGGCAGAAGAGGGAGGUGGAAUUCCGGGUGUAGUGGUGAAAUGCGUAGAUAUCCGGAGGAACACCAGUGGCGAAGGCGGCCUCCUGGUCUGUCCCUGACGCUCAGACGCGAAAGCUAGGGGAGCGAACGGGAUUAGAAACCCUCGUAGUCC
rnacentral:rRNA from 1 species